rnacentral:rRNA from 1 species
GACGAACGCUGGCGGCGUGCUUAACACAUGCAAGUCGAACGGAAAGGCCCUGCUUUUGUGGGGUGCUCGAGUGGCGAACGGGUGAGUAACACGUGAGUAACCUGCCCUUGACUUUGGGAUAACUUCAGGAAACUGGGGCUAAUACCGGAUAGGAGCUCCUGCUGCAUGGUGGGGGUUGGAAAGUUUCGGCGGUUGGGGAUGGACUCGCGGCUUAUCAGCUUGUUGGUGGGGUAGUGGCUUACCAAGGCUUUGACGGGUAGCCGGCCUGAGAGGGUGACCGGCCACAUUGGGACUGAGAUACGGCCCAGACUCCUACGGGAGGCAGCAGUGGGGAAUAUUGCACAAUGGGCGGAAGCCUGAUGCAGCAACGCCGCGUGCGGGAUGACGGCCUUCGGGUUGUAAACCGCUUUCGCCUGUGACGAAGCGUGAGUGACGGUAAUGGGUAAAGAAGCACCGGCUAACUACGUGCCAGCAGCCGCGGUGAUACGUAGGGUGCGAGCGUUGUCCGGAUUUAUUGGGCGUAAAGGGCUCGUAGGUGGUUGAUCGCGUCGGAAGUGUAAUCUUGGGGCUUAACCCUGAGCGUGCUUUCGAUACGGGUUGACUUGAGGAAGGUAGGGGAGAAUGGAAUUCCUGGUGGAGCGGUGGAAUGCGCAGAUAUCAGGAGGAACACCAGUGGCGAAGGCGGUUCUCUGGGCCUUUCCUGACGCUGAGGAGCGAAAGCGUGGGGAGCGAACAGGCUUAGAUACCCUGGUAGUCCACGCUGUAAACGGUGGGUACUAGGUGUGGGGUCCAUUCCACGGGUUCCGUGCCGUAGCUAACGCUUUAAGUACCCCGCCUGGGGAGUACGGCCGCAAGGCUAAAACUCAAAGGAAUUGACGGGGCCCCGCACAAGCGGCGGAGCAUGCGGAUUAAUUCGAUGCAACGCGUAGAACCUUACCUGGGUUUGACAUGGAUCGGGAGUGCUCAGAGAUGGGUGUGCCUCUUUUGGGGUCGGUUCACAGGUGGUGCAUGGCUGUCGUCAGCUCGUGUCGUGAGAUGUUGGGUUAAGUCCCGCAACGAGCGCAACCCUUGUUCACUGUUGCCAGCACGUUAUGGUGGGGACUCAGUGGAGACCGCCGGGGUCAACUCGGAGGAAGGUGGGGAUGACGUCAAGUCAUCAUGCCCCUUAUGUCCAGGGCUUCACGCAUGCUACAAUGGCUGGUACAGAGAGUGGCGAGCCUGUGAGGGUGAGCGAAUCUCGGAAAGCCAGUCUCAGUUCGGAUUGGGGUCUGCAACCCGACCUCAUGAAGUCGGAGUCGCUAGUAAUCGCAGAUCAGCAACGCUGCGGUGAAUACGUUCCCGGGGCU